rnacentral:rRNA from 1 species
AGAGAGAGACAUGCGCGCAUAUCAAUAAGCGGAGGAAAAGAAACUAACUAGGAUUCCCUCAGUAACGGCGAGUGAAGCGGGAAGAGCUCAAAUUUGAAAUCUUCAAGGUUCUACCUUGACGAAUUGUAGUUUAAAGAAGUGUUUUCUGUUGGAGUUUUGGUAAAAGUUCUUUGGAAUAGGACAUCAUAGAGGGUGAGAAUCCCGUAUUUGACCAUUUACUUUCAGCUUUGUGAUACACUUUCAAAGAGUCGGAUUGUUUGGGAAUGCAGUCCAAAAUGGGUGGUAAAUUUCAUCUAAAGCUAAAUAUUGGCGAGAGACCGAUAGCGAACAAGUACCGUGAGGGAAAGAUGAAAAGAACUUUGAAAAGAGAGUUAAACAGUACGUGAAAUUGUCAAAAGGGAAGCGUUUGACACCAGUGUUGUUUUUCUGAAAAUCAAUUAAAGAACUGUUUAUGCUAAGUUGUUUAGACUUUAUCAGCUAUCUGUUUAGUUUUGAGCUUUUCUUUAAUGCACUUUUCAGUUAACAAGUCAACAUCAAUUUCUUUUGCUGUAAAAAAGCUUGAGGAAGGUGGCUUGAGAUUCGUCUUAAGUGUUUAUAGCCUCUUGCCUAUGCAGUCGGAGAGAUUGAGGUCUGCAGCGUAGAUCCUUCGGGGCUAAAUGCAUUUGUGCUAAGUUAUAGCAUUUUAUAGACAACUUGUUGACUAUGAUUUGUCUUGUAGCUUACUCGCUUAUGUUAUUUUACCUACGCUUAGGAUGUUGAUGUGAUACUGCGAGCA